UACGUAGGGGGCAAGCGUUAUCCGGAAUCACUGGGUGUAAAGGGAGCGUAGACGGCUGUGCAAGCCUGAAGUGAAAGGCGGGGGCCCAACCCCUGGACUGCUUUGGGAACUGUACGGCUGGAGUGCAGGAGAGGUAAGUGGAAUUCCUAGUGUAGCGGUGAAGUGCGUAGAUAUUAGGAGGAACACCAGUGGCGAAGGCGGCUUACUGGACUGUAACUGACGUUGAGGCUCGAAAGCGUGGGGAGCAAACAGG
rnacentral:rRNA from 1 species